UACAGAGGUCUCAAGCGUUGUUCGGAUUCAUUGGGCGUAAAGGGUGCGUAGGUGGCGAGGCAAGUCAGAUGUGAAAUCCCAGGGCUCAACCCUGGAACUGCAUUUGAUACUGCCCUGCUUGAGUACUGGAGAGGAGAUUGGAAUUUACGGUGUAGCAGUGAAAUGCGUAGAUAUCGUAAGGAAGACCAGUGGCGAAGGCGGAUCUCUGGACAGUUACUGACACUGAGGCACGAAGGCCAGGGGAGCAAACGGG
rnacentral:rRNA from 1 species